AUUGAACGCUGGCGGCAGGCCUAACACAUGCAAGUCGAGCGAGCGGCGGACGGGUGAGUAAUGUAUGGGGACUGCCCGAUAGAGGGGGAUAACUACUGGAAACGGUGGCUAAUACCGCAUACUAUCGGAUAACCCAUAUGGGAUUAGCUAGUAGGUGGGGUAAAGGCUCACCUGGGCGACGAUCUCUAGCUGGUCUGAGAGGAUGUAAAGACACAAUGAGUCUGAGAAACGGGCCAGACUACUACGGAGGCAGAAGGGGGGAAUAUUGGACGAUAGGGGGAAGACUGGUGCAGACAUGCCGGGUGGAAAAAGAAGGACUUAGGGGUGUAAAAAACUUUCAACGGGGAGGCGUUACCCGCAGAAGAAGCACCGGCUAAAUCCGGGCCAGCCGACGCGGUAAUUC
rnacentral:rRNA from 1 species